rnacentral:rRNA from 1 species
GUGGAGGGCGGCGCCGUACGCCGGCAAAAGUUCUUCAAAAUCCUCCUGCCGGGCUCCUUCGAGUCCAGCCUGUCCCUGCCGCCCAAAUUCGCGGCGCGCCUCGACCGCCCGCCGGUGCUCGCCGUCGCCACGCUGCGCGACCCCGCUGGACGGUCGUGGCACGUGGGCCUCGUCCGGCACGGCGCCGCGGGCCUGCGCUUCGACGGGAAGGGGUGGCGCAGCUUCGUCGCCGGCUGCGGCCUCUCCGCCGGCCAGCUCCUCGUCUUCGACCACCUCGACGACCUCGACUUCGCCGUCGAGCCCUUCGACACGUCCGGCUGCAGCACCUCCUUCUUCGACGGCCAGCGUGGCGGCCCAAUGAUGAACUUCGACGACGACGCCGACGUGGAGUCCGGCAGCGACGACAACCACCAUGACGGGGGGUCCCCCUCCCGGUCGCCACUGCCGGCGGCCGGCACAAAGAGGAAGAAGCUCUCGCCGGCCACCGCCUCGCCCGCCGGCUCCUGCGGACCGUCGUCGUCGGACGACGGGACGCUCCGGCUGGGCAUCGAGCAGCCGUUCCAUCUGCAGUACAUGGAGCUGACCAAGGCCUUCUGUGCCCGCGUGGGAUGGGCCGAGUCGUGCACCGCUGAGCUAACCGUGGCCGGCCGCGGCGACCGGCGAUGGGAGGUGUCCGUCAGGGUCGGCAGCAAGGGCGGCAUGAUCAUGGCCGGGUGGGAGGGCUUCGCCUGGGACAACGGCCUCAGGAUCUCCGACGUCUGCCUCUUCAGGCCGGCAGCUGACACCGGCGAUCAGGUGGUGCAAGUCCAAGUGCUC